UCCCUUAGUAACUGCCAGUGAAACGGGAAAAGCCCAGCGCUGAAUCCUUCAACCACUGGUUGCUAGGAAUUGUAGCGUAUAGAUGCGACUAUCCGUUCGUUUCGUGCACCCAAAGUCCCCUUGAGCGGGGCUAUAGUCCAAAGAAGGUGCUAGACCUGUACGGGUGGCGAAGCGAAUGGUUGAUCGCUCCUUGGAGUCGGGUUGCCUGGGAUCGCAGCCCAAAGUUGGUGGUAGAUCUCAUCUAAGGCUAAAUAUGGCCACGAAACCGAUAGCAAACAAGUACCGUGAGGGAAAGUUGCAAAGAACUUUGAAGAGAGAGUUCAAGAGGGCGUGAAACCGUUGAGAUUGAAACGGAUAGAGUUAACGGAACUCGGCUGCAUUCAUCCGAUCGGCUUAAUGGCUCAAUAGCGUUUGCAUUCUCGAUGAGAGCAACGUUAUCGAUAACUAUUCGGUAAUUGAUCGGUGUAUUUGCGGCUGGUAUGCGCUGAGAGUUUUGUGAUCGUAUGUUAACGGAUGUGAAGUGGACCAUUCUUUUCGGGCGUGGAACCCUUCAUAUCUUUAGGCAUAUCGAUUAUAAAAUUUUAAACGUAUCGUCUCCGCUAUUGUGCGUCGCCUUAUGUCUACUAUUGUGAUUAUUGAAUAUUCGCAUGCGAAUAUUUGUGGUCAACAAUAUUACGAUAUGAGUGAUAUGGACGCGUUGAGACGUAUAUCUCGGUGUGAACGUUGACCACCUAUCCGACCCGUCUUGAAACACGGACCAAGGAGUCUAGCAUAUGCGCGAGUCAUUGGGUGGUAAACCUAAGGGCGUAAUGAAAGUAAAAGUCACCUCGAUGUGGCCGAUAUGGGAUCCGGAGAGCUUAUGAGCAAUUCGGCGCACCAUAGCCCCGUCCUCAUUGCUUGCAAUAGGGCGGAGGUAGAGCGCAUAUGCUGGGACCCGAAAGAUGGUGAACUAUGCCUGAGCAGGAUGAAGCCAGAGGAAACUCUGGUGGAAGUCCGAAGCGGUUCUGACGUGCAAAUCGAUCGUCUGACUUGGGUAUAGGGGCGAAAGACUAAUCGA
rnacentral:rRNA from 1 species